CUUCCACUUCGGCAGGGCUCAGCACCCCCGCGACCUCAACUCCUUAUCCAUCUGGGGCCGCUCCUCUGCAGCGGGGCAGCGAGCCCCUCUCCUCAGGGUCUGGGCCCUCUACCUCCAGGCCCU
rfam:Tursiops truncatus cont1.244655, whole genome shotgun sequence.